GGAAUAUUGGACAAUGGGGGCAACCCUGAUCCAGCCAUACCGCGUGUGUGAAGAAGGCCUCAGGGUUGUAAAGCACUUUCAGUGGGGAGAAAGGUGGUUUGGUUAAUAACCAGAUCAAUUGAUGUUACCCACAGAAGAAGCACCGGCUACCUCCGUGCCAGCAGCCGCGGUAAUACGGAGGGUGCAAGCGUUAAUCGGAAUUACUGGGCGUAAAGCGCACGUAGGUGGUUUGUUAAGCUAGCUGUGAAAUCCCCGGGCUCAACCUGGGCACUGCAGUUAGAACUGGCAAGCUAGAGUAGGGUAGAGGGGUGUGGAAUUCCAGGUGUAGCGGUGAAAUGCGUAGAUAUCUGGAGGAACAUCAGUGGCGAAGGCGACACCCUGGACUCAUACUGACACUGAGGUGCGAAAGCGUGGGGAGCAAA
rnacentral:rRNA from 1 species